rnacentral:lncRNA from 1 species
UUCAGAGAACUAGAAAGCGGUGGUUCAAGACCACGUUAUGCUUCCUUCUUCCAAACAUUACCCGGAGAGUUGAGAACAAUGGCAACUUGUUCUUAUUAGGGUCCUCCAAGAAUAAUUUCACCAGCUCCUGACAGGUGAAGUGGCACCACAGUUCCAGGGUGGAUAGGGUGGUGUAAUUUUGUUCUGCUCUCCAGACAGCAUCCACCUGCCCUGGAGUGGGAGCUACUUGUGGGAUGGUGUGAAGGUACAGGUAGCAAUCACAUAGAAAUUAAAGGGGAUUCCGAACAUGUAUUUUGCCUUUGAGACGGUGGGUGGGGUGUGGGGGGCAGAGCUCACUCUCUAAAGGUGUUUUUCCUUUGAAUGUUUUCUUAAGCACUGGAAGACAUUUGACCCAUGUGUACUGAAGGGAUCCAUGUAAAAUUCUUCAGCCCACACAUGUGUCGUGCCUACUUUGAAGAGAUAAAACGGAAUGCAAGGCAGCCAGAAGAUAGACAGCAGGCGGUAGUACCAGUUGCCAUGAGAGCCCAAGUAGGCGGCCCCAUUCCCCAAGAGCCAAGCCGGCCCCAGAGCCAGAGAGGCAUUUGCAAUAGGAGUCAUGUGCAAUAAGAACUGCACCUGAAAUUCUACACCUCUGUCCUUUUGAAGUGGUUUAUGCAUGCCCUGUUCUCCUUCAUGAUGUUGUCCUCCAUAGAGAAACAGAUGCCUUGCCCGAUGGAUGUCAAAUCACCGGCUGAGUUGUGGCAGACUCCUCAGCAGCCAAGGUAGGGAAGCUCAGCCUAAGGUAAAGGCACAUCCCAUAUUCCAUCCUGGAGACUUAAUACUGAUACAGUCUAUUCCCUCAUCAUCUCUUUGCUAGGACCAGCUCGGGAAGGACCUCGUGGGAAGCGAUCUUGUCAACUCCAUCAGCUGUCAGGGCAGCACGCCCUCACUCCUUGAUGCAAUUCGCCCAAUCAAUUCCCUGGAACCAGAGACCAUGGCUGGGUGUGAGCAACCACCGUUGGAAUAGUCCUGCAUAGCCAUAGAAGCCACGAAAUUCUUCCCAUGGAAAGAAUAAAGUCUUCAGGUA